rnacentral:rRNA from 1 species
GGAAUUUUCCGCAAUGGGCGCAAGCCUGAUGCAGCCAUGCCGCGUGUGUGAAGAAGGCCUUCGGGUUGUAAAGCACUUUCAGUCGUGAGGAAUAGAUUUGACGUUAGCGACAGAAGAAGCACCGGCUAACUCCGUGCCAGCAGCCGCGGUAAUACGGAGGGUGCAAGCGUUGCUCGGAAUCACUGGGCGUAAAGAGCGUGUAGGCGGUUUUGUAUGUCUGACGUGAAAGCCCCGGGCUUACCCUGGGAAGUGCGUUGGAAACUGCAGAACUAGAGUCUCGGAGAGGGAGGUGGAAUUCCAGGUGUAGCGGUGAAAAGCGUAGAUAUCUGGAAGAACACCGGUGGCGAAGGCGACCUCCUGGGCGAUGACUGACGCUGAGACGCGAAAGCGUGGGGAGCAAACAGGAUUAGAUACCCCAGUAGUC